rnacentral:rRNA from 1 species
AGAGCGAACGCUGGCGGCAGGCUUAACACAUGCAAGUCGAGCGGAUGUAGCAAUACAUCAGCGGCAGACGGGUGAGUAACACGUGGGAACGUACCUUUUGGUUCGGAACAACACAGGGAAACUUGUGCUAAUACCGGAUAAGCCCUUACGGGGAAAGAUUUAUCGCCGAAAGAUCGGCCCGCGUCUGAUUAGCUAGUUGGUGAGGUAAUGGCUCACCAAGGCGACGAUCAGUAGCUGGUCUGAGAGGAUGAUCAGCCACAUUGGGACUGAGACACGGCCCAAACUCCUACGGGAGGCAGCAGUGGGGAAUAUUGGACAAUGGGCGCAAGCCUGAUCCAGCCAUGCCGCGUGAGUGAUGAAGGCCCUAGGGUUGUAAAGCUCUUUUGCCCGCGACGAUGAUGACGGUAGCGGGAGAGAAGCCCGGCUAACUUCGCGCCAGCAGCCGC